rnacentral:rRNA from 1 species
AGAGUUUGAUCCUGGCUCAGGAUGAACGCUAGCGACAGGCCUAACACAUGCAAGUCGAGCGGCAGCACCUCGGGUGGCGAGCGGCGCACGGGUGAGUAACGCGUAUGUAACCUGCCCAUGAGUGGGGGAUAGCCCGGUGAAAACCGGAUUAAUACCCCAUGAUACCAUUGUCUGACAUCAUUUAAUGGUUAAAGAUUCAUUGCUCAUGGAUGGACAUGCGUUGGAUUAGCUAGUCGGCGGGGCAACGGCCCACCGAGGCUACGAUCCAUAGGGGUUCUGAGAGGAAGGUCCCCCACAUUGGUACUGAGACACGGACCAAACUCCUACGGGAGGCAGCAGUGAGGAAUAUUGGUCAAUGGGCGGAAGCCUGAACCAGCCAAGUCGCGUGAAGGAUGAAGGUAUUAUGUAUUGUAAACUUCUUUAGCUGUGGAGAAAUAAGGGGCUCGUGAGCCCUGAUGCUAGUACACAGAGAAUAAGGAUCGGCUAACUCCGUGCCAGCAGCCGCGGU